rnacentral:rRNA from 1 species
GACGAACGCUGGCGGCGUGCCUAAUACAUGCAAGUCGAACGCACUCUCGUUUAGAUUGAAGGAGCUUGCUCCUGAUUGAUAAACAUUUGAGUGAGUGGCGGACGGGUGAGUAACACGCGGGUAACCUGCCCUAAAGUGGGGGAUAACAUUUGGAAACAGAUGCUAAUACCGCAUAAAACCUAACACCGCAUGGUGUAGGGUUGAAAGAUGGUUUCGGCUAUCACUUUAGGAUGGACCCGCGGUGCAUUAGUUAGUUGGUGAGGUAAAGGCUCACCAAGACCGUGAUGCAUAGCCGACCUGAGAGGGUAAUCGGCCACACUGGGACUGAGACACGGCCCAGACUCCUACGGGAGGCAGCAGUAGGGAAUCUUCCACAAUGGACGAAAGUCUGAUGGAGCAACGCCGCGUGAGUGAAGAAGGUUUUCGGAUCGUAAAACUCUGUUAGUUGGAGAGAAUGUAUCUGAUAGUAACUGAUCAGGUAGUGACGGUAUCCAACCAGAAGCCACGG